rnacentral:rRNA from 1 species
UACGUAGGGAGCGAGCGUUGUCCGGAAUUACUGGGCGUAAAGGGUGCGUAGGCGGCAUGGCAAGUCAGAUGUGAAAUCCCCGGGCUUAACUCGGGGGGUGCAUUUGAAACUACCUUGCUUGAGUGCAGGAGAGGAAAGCGGAAUUCCUAGUGUAGCGGUGAAAUGCGUAGAUAUUAGGAAGAACACCAGUGGCGAAGGCGGCUUUCUGGACUGUAACUGACGCUGAGGCACGAAAGCGUGGGGAGCAAACAGGAUUAGAUACCCUGGUAGUCCACGCUGUAAACGAUGGAUACUAGGUGUGGGGGAGAUACUACCUCUGUGCCGCAGCAAACGCAAUAAGUAUCCCGCCUGGGGAGUACGGCCGCAAGGCUGAA